rnacentral:rRNA from 1 species
CACGGGGGGAGCAAGCGUUGUUCGGAAUCACUGGGCGUAAAGCGCACGUAGGCGGCUUACUAAGUCAGGGGUGAAAUCCUGGAGCUCAACUCCAGAACUGCCUUUGAUACUGGUAAGCUCGAGUCCGGGAGAGGUGAGUGGAACUGCGAGUGUAGAGGUGAAAUUCGUAGAUAUUCGCAAGAACACCAGUGGCGAAGGCGGCUCACUGGCCCGGUACUGACGCUGAGGUGCGAAAGCGUGGGGAGCAAACAGG